GAUGAACGCUGGCGGCGUGCCUAAUACAUGCAAGUAGAACGCUGAAGCUUGGUGCUUGCACCGAGCGGAUGAGUUGCGAACGGGUGAGUAACGCGUAGGUAACCUGCCUCUUAGCGGGGGAUAACUAUUGGAAACGAUAGCUAAUACCGCAUAAAAGACGAUAUCGCAUGAUAUUGAUUUGAAAGGUGCAAUUGCAUCACUAAGAGAUGGACCUGCGUUGUAUUAGCUAGUUGGUGAGGUAACGGCUCACCAAGGCGACGAUACAUAGCCGACCUGAGAGGGUGAUCGGCCACACUGGGACUGAGACACGGCCCAGACUCCUACGGGAGGCAGCAGUAGGGAAUCUUCGGCAAUGGGGGCAACCCUGACCGAGCAACGCCGCGUGAGUGAAGAAGGUUUUCGGAUCGUAAAGCUCUGUUGUAAGAGAAGAACGAGUGUGAGAGUGGAAAGUUCACACUGUGACGGUAACUUACCAGAAAGGGACGGCUAACUACGUGCCAGCAGCCGCGGUAAUACGUAGGUCCCGAGCGUUAUCCGGAUUUAUUGGGCGUAAAGCGAGCGCAGGCGGCUAGAUAAGUCUGAAGUUAAAGGCUGUGGCUUAACCAUAGUACGCUUUGGAAACUGUUUAACUUGAGUGCAGAAGGGGAGAGUGGAAUUCCAUGUGUAGCGGUGAAAUGCGUAGAUAUAUGGAGGAACACCGGUGGCGAAAGCGGCUCUCUGGUCUGUAACUGACGCUGAGGCUCGAAAGCGUGGGGAGCAAACAGG
rnacentral:rRNA from 1 species